AUUUGCGCUGCUUAUAAAUUUUCUGAGGCAGUCAAUGAAACUUUCCUCCAGAUUCAACCAUAAAUGCAGCAACUCCUCCAUACUAGUGCUUGUUUUCUUCAUUUUUCUCUGUAAAUGGUUCACGUACAGUGACGAGUUCAAGUCAGUAGCAGAGUCAUUUUUCAUAUCAGGACUUAAACUUGCAGAAAUCCAUGAGAAAGAUGACGAUGUGGAGGUUUUAUUACCACCUAAGGACUGCGAUUUUUACACAGAGAAAUGGGUUCUUGAUAAUGUCACUCACCCUUCGUACAACGAGGAAGAAUGUGAGUUUCUCUCAAGGCAGGUUACUUGUUUGAGAAAUGGAAGACAAGAUUCUUUAUAUCAAAAUUGGAGAUGGCAAACCAGAGAUUUUUCUUUGCCCAAGUAAGUCUCUGUGUUUUUAAAUCUUGCAUCUGGCUACAUAUUUCUUCCUCUGUUAGUGGUUAAUUUAUGUGUUUGAAAAAAGGUUCAGACAAAGAUUGCUGCUGGAGAAACUCCGUGGAAAGAGGCUUAUGUUUGUUGGAGAUUCACUGAAUAGAAACCAAUGGGAAUCCAUGGUUUGCCUAGUGCAAUCUGCAAUCCCUCCAGGGCAGAAGAGUCUGAGUGAAUCAGGCUCUUUUUCUAUUUUCAGAAUUGGGUUGAUUCUGAUGUUAAUUUAGGACUAUAAUGCUACAAUAGAGUUUUACUGGUCACCAUUUCUAGUUGAAUCGAAUUCGGACAAUCCACAGAAGCAUAGCACAUUAGACCGUGUAAUCAUGCCUGAAUCCAUCAAGAAGCAUGGAGAAAACUGGAAGGGUGUGCACUACCUCAUCUUUAACACAUACAUUUGGUGGAUGAAUUCUCCUAACAUGAAAGUCUUAAAGCAAGGAAUAAUGUUCAAUGAAAGUAAUGUAGAAUACAAGGAAAUUGAAAGAACGGUAGCUUAUGGAAGAGUUCUGAUGACGUUGGGUAAGUGGGUUGAGGAAAAUGUAGAUCCUAAUCUCACUUCUGUCUACUUCAUGAGCAUGUCCCCUCUUCAUAUCAAGUAAGCUACCUACAAAGUUCACAAAAUUAAUGUACAAUUUACCUUGAUUUUUAGUAUAUGACAUUGUUUAUGAAUAUAAAUAUAUAAAAUUGAUUUCAGGAGCUCAUAUUGGAACAAUCCUGAAGGGAUUAGGUGUGCUAGGGAGACUACCC